rnacentral:rRNA from 1 species
CCUACGGGAGGCAGCAGUAGGGAAUAUUGCACAAUGGGGGAAACCCUGAUGCAGCAACGCCGCGUGAGUGAAGAAGUAUUUAGGUAUGUAAACCUCUAUCAUCAGAGAAGAUAAUGACGGUACCUGAUGAAGAAGCCCCGGCUAACUACGUGCCAGCAGCCGCGGUAAUACGUAGGGGGCAAGCGUUAUCCGGAUUUACUGGGCGUAAAGGGAGCGUAGACGGCGGCGUAAGUCUGAAGUGAAAUGCCGGAGCUUAACCCCGGAACUGCAUUGGAAACUGUGCAGCUGGAGUGUAGGAGAGGUAAGUGGAAUUCCUAGUGUAGGGGUGAAAUGCGUAGAUAUUAGGAGGAACACCAGUGGCGAAGGCGACCUACUGGAAUGUUACUGACGCUGAGGCUCGAAAGCGUGGGGAGCAAACAGGAUUAGAUACCCUUGUAGUC